GGGGUUAUAGCUCAGUUGGUAGAGUGCUUGCAUGGCAUGCAAGAGGUCGGUGGUUCGAUUCCACUUAGCUCCA
rnacentral:tRNA from 1 species